UCUCGAGUGGCCUCCUGAGGGGCCGGAGGUGCUCCCUGCGUUUUGGUCUGCGCUUCCCUGAUGACCAGUGUGUCGAGUGUCUUCUCAGGAGCUCAUGGUCACUUACAGGGUCUUGACAAGUUGCUCAAACUGGCCUCAAACCUGCGAUGGUCCUGCGUCAGUGUCCCAGUGGCCAGGCGUACAGAGGGGCCACCAUGCUUGGCUGCCCGCUCCUUCCUCUCCCCUGUGAAUACCAGUCUGAGCACCUUGGUGUAGACGCGUUCACUCCCCACUCAGGACCCUGGCACCCGGGGGACGUCAGCUCUCACAGAGGCCCAGGAGCGCUCUGGACUCUCUGUUCCACUCUGCACCGAGGCCAGGACCACACUGUGUGGACCUCAUUGCCCUUGGGACGGACGGGAUUCUCACUGGGAUCCUGUUGAAUCUGGGGAGAGGAGCAGAGCCCUGAGAACAGGCAGGCCUUUCAAUCCAUGAACACGGAGGCUUCCCACUCAUUAAGGUCUUCUUCGAUUCAUUUCAGCCAUGAUUUGUAAUAUUUAUAUUUGUUCUAUUAAAUUUAUUCCUAAGUAUUUUA